rnacentral:rRNA from 1 species
CAGUAGCCGCGGGAAUACAGAGGGUGCGAGCGUUAAUCGGAUUUACUGGGCGUAAAGCGUGCGUAGGCGGCUUCUUAAGUCGGAUGUGAAAUCCCUGAGCUUAACUUAGGAAUUGCAUUUGAUACUGGGAAGCUAGAGUAUGGGAGAGGAUGGUAGAAUUCCAGGUGUAGCGGUGAAAUGCGUAGAGAUCUGGAGGAAUACCGAUGGCGAAGGCAGCCAUCUGGCCUAAUACUGACGCUGAGGUACGAAAGCAUGGGGAGCAAACAGGAUUAGAUACCCGCGUAGUCCCUGUCUCUUAUAC